CUUAGACAGCCUUAAGCGUUUGAGCUAGGGAACUACUUUUUUAGCUCAGUCGGUUAGAGGUCAGCCUUGUAACACAGAGGUCCCGUAGGAGGCAAAGUGAUUUUGCAAUAUAAGUCAUGCUCUACAGUUUCAUUUGGCGCCAAACAAUAAAAACCCUGACACAGUUAGAAGAAUUACCUAGCCAGGGAAGUGUUGAAGAUAUCAUUAUAGUAAAAUGACUCUUGAGUUGGCAGAAUUGUGACGGGAUUGCCUCCCUUUGUAUGUGUAAUAGAUACUUUGCCAGCCGUAAGCGGUUGAGCUAGAGAAGCAAAAAACAUAAAACUAGAUAUGGUAUAAUUCUGCAGCAAAUAUGUCUGUGUCCCUGUUAAAAUGUAUGAACAGAUUGGGGCCAUUACAUUGGUGUGGCUACAAUGGAAUACAAGCUCUAGCAUUGAAUAAAAUCAAGUGGUAUCCAGUUCCGGCAGUUACAGUGGUUCCAGGAAAACAAUAUGUAACUUUAAGCAAUAAAAUUCUAUGUGAAAAAGACAAAAUAUUAGGAAUUCAUUGUAAACAUUUACAUGUAGUACCUGAUGAACCAAGAUCUAAGGGUCGCCAAGAAAAAGACAAGGUACCACAUGACUUUGUUUUCAUAUUUCAAAGCUCUUAUGAAAAUUUUAUAAAACUAAUUGGACUUCUUGUACCAUUAAUGUCACUUAUAGCAGGUACAACAAUUUUUGAGAUUCAAAGUCGAUUUACUGAUCCAGAAAAAGAAAAAGUACACAUUGACAAAAGUAAAAUUCCAUUCAUUAUUGGAGGUUCAGCUUUCGCCAUUAUUCUGAUUACUUGCCUUACUAAAAUCUACAGAUUUACAAUGAUCAGAAUGUAUAAGCAUAUAGAUUCUGACUUGUUUAUUGGUGUUGUUCCAAGAUGGUUCCUUUGGACAAAGAACUUUACAUUUCGACCCUCAGAUAUAAAACGUUUCCCACCUUCAGGUUAUAUACGCUUUGUUAGAGGAGAUAUACAGAUUAAAAGAAGACCUUUUGUUUUAGACUUUGGUGAAUUUGGACUACCAAAAUAUUAUAAUGAGAUACUAGGAUAUGAUGUGGAGGCUAGUGGUAGACAAUUUGAGGAAGAUUUGAUGAUAGAGAAAUUUAAAAGGAAAAAAUAAACUUAUUUAACAUGAAAGUCUUAUGAUUUUUGUUUUGUCUGAAUGUGAUUAAAACAUGGAAUAGGAAAUGUA